GACGAACCGUGCAAACGUUGUUCGGAAUCACUGGGCUUAAAGGGCGCGUAGGCGGGCGCACAAGUCAGGGGUGAAAGCCCACGGCUCAACCGUGGAAGAGCCUUUGAUACUGUGUGUCUUGAGGGAGGUAGGGGCGUGCGGAACUUCCGGUGGAGCGGUGAAAUGCGUAGAGUAUCGGAAGGAACACCGGUGGCGAAAGCGGCGCGCUGGAUCUCUACUGACGCUGAGGCGCGAAAGCCAGGGAGCAAACGGG
rnacentral:rRNA from 1 species